UGAUGGGGAGCACAGUGAUGACUCAUCGGCUGAUGACAUCACUCCAGCUGCGCCGACCGUCCGGGAGCCUGUCCCGCCAACGGAACGGCGUUAGUCACGGGUGUGUGGGCCUAUACAGGAUGGGAAAAGGUUGUGAUGUCCUCAACAAAAAUGGCUGCUACUGUAAGAUCAAUGAAAGUGCCUCUCUCAUGAAACCAUACGGAAGGAAGAAACAUAUGGAAUGAUGUAAACAGAACAAUGUGAACAUACAUGAAGGCUUCUUGCAUGGUUGCGGUACAGAAGUAUAUAUAGGCUGCAGUACAGGAGAGUGCUGUAAAUGAUGUACAACAGAAUGGAAGCUGUGCGUCUCACCCCUACUACCAGGCCACGUGUAUGCUGCAAUCAUUUAAUAUGUGGUAGUAAAUGCUUUGAUAAGGAACACAUUUAUACGUGGCAAAGUACCAAGACACAAUGACCAAUUAAUUAAGUGACUGUGCAUACAACUACAUGGAACAGCAGCCACACUAUGGAGCAGCAUUCAUCAUGUUACCU